rnacentral:rRNA from 1 species
GAUGAACGCUGGCGGCGUGCCUAAUACAUGCAAGUCGAGCGAACAGAUGAGGAGCUUGCUCCUCUGACGUUAGCGGCGGACGGGUGAGUAACACGUGGAUAACCUACCUAUAAGACUGGGAUAACUUCGGGAAACCGGAGCUAAUACCGGAUAAUAUAUUGAACCGCAUGGUUCAAUAGUGAAAGACGGUUUUGCUGUCACUUAUAGAUGGAUCCGCGCCGCAUUAGCUAGUUGGUAAGGUAACGGCUUACCAAGGCAACGAUGCGUAGCCGACCUGAGAGGGUGAUCGGCCACACUGGAACUGAGACACGGUCCAGACUCCUACGGGAGGCAGCAGUAGGGAAUCUUGCGCAAUGGGCGAAAGCCUGACGGAGCAACGCCGCGUGAGUGAUGAAGGUCUUCGGAUCGUAAAACACUGUUAUUAGGGAAGAACAAAUGUGUAAUUAACUAUGCACGUCUUGACGGUACCUAAUCAGAAAGCCACGGCUAACUACGUG